rfam:Turicella otitidis ATCC 51513 genomic scaffold supercont1.2, whole genome shotgun sequence.
AAGCGGCCGCGCCGAUGGAUGUGCGACGGAGUCCUGGCCGGCCGUUCCUUUUCACCAACGCAAACCAAUCGACGUCCAUCGCACCGCUGGCCUGGCCGUGGAAACGGCGGCCCGCGGCCCUACCGUGGGAGAGAACGCUGAGCGUGACAAC